GAUACCCCACGAUUAAAUCUACCCCCUCUUGCCUCAACAGUCUAUAUACCGCCGUCGCCAGCCCACCUUAUGAAAGAAACAAAGUGAGCCAAAUAGUCACACACUAACAAGACAGGUCGAGGUGUAACUCAUGGGGGGGCUAAGAUGGGCUACAUUUUCUAACACAGAAAAUACGGACAAACUAUGAAAUAAGAAACUAAAGACGGAUUUAGCAGUAAACUAAGAACAAAAUACUUAAUCGAAACCAAUGCAAUGAGAUGCGUACACACCGCCCGUCAUCCCUGCCAAUCAAA
rnacentral:rRNA from 1 species